UCUUGUGGGAAAGAAGGGACCAUUUUCUACAAUAUCCCACAAAUCAACUCCUUCCGAUUUGAGGAAAUAAUACAUUCUAUUUUUCCAAUAUAGAAAGUCAUUUCCAUCAAAGAAAGGUGGUCUCACAACUGAUUGACCUUCUUGAGAAUUAAGGGCUGCCAUUUGAUCUUUACUCCAAGAUAAUUAUAUCUUCAAGAUAGGGAGACUUAGCUCUAAUACCACUUGUUGUCCCUUGAAGCAACCCAAGAGGGGGG
rnacentral:lncRNA from 1 species